rnacentral:snRNA from 1 species
GGAUCCUUUCAGCAAUACAUAUACUGAAAUUGGAAUGAUAUAGAGAAGAUUAGCUGUGCCCCUGCACAAGGAUGACACACACAUGCGUGAAGCCUUCUUUAUUUGU